rnacentral:misc_RNA from 1 species
UGGUUCUGGCAUCGAUGAAGAACGCAGCGAAAUGCGAUAAGUAAUGUGAAUUGCAGAAUUCAGUGAAUCAUCGAAUCUUUGAACGCACAUUGCGCCCUCUGGUAUUCCGGGGGGCACACCUGUUCGAGCGUCAUUGCAAAUCUCAAGCUCUGCUUGGUGUUGGGUCCUCGUCCGGAUCGGGCGGGCCCGAAAGCGAUAGGCGACGGCUGUCCGGCUUCGAGCGUGAUAAAGGUUUACACCCGCCGCUCCGGAAGUGCUUCGUGACUCCGACCGCCUCGAACCUCCUCACUAAGUAGGUUGACCUCGGAUCAGGUGGGGAUACCCGCUGA